GAUGAAAACGUAGCGAAAUGCGAUACGUAGUGUGAAUUGCAGAAUUCAGUGAAUCAUCGAAUCUUUGAACGCACAUUGCACCUCUCGGUAUUCCGGGAGGUAUGCCUGUUCGAGCGUCAUUUGUACCCUCAAGCUCUGCUUGGUGUUGGGUGUUUGUUCCGCCUCUGUGUGUGAACUCGCCUCAAAACAAUUGGCAGCCGGCGUACUUGUUUCGGAGCGCAGCACAUUUUGCGAUCCAGAUCAACGUACAGCGGCAUCCAAGAAGCCUUAUUUAACGCUCUUGACCUCGGAUCAGGUAGGGAUACCCGCUGAACUUAAGCAUAUCAAUAAGCGGAGA
rnacentral:misc_RNA from 1 species